UGAUAUCAUUACCCAAAAGAGGAGGAAGAAAGAAAAGGGCAACUUGAUGUUCAAACCCUGAGGGCAAGGUAAAAAUGUGGAAAGACAGAGGACCCGGAGUAAAGAUCCUUUGGCUCUGGACCAUCGGAACUGCCGCCGUUUUGGUGACUAGUGUGGUGAGGACUAGGCUGAGAGACAUGGAUCAGCAGUUCAUGAACGCUACUCAACAACCGCCGAACCCUGAAGCCACUGCUGACUCCGAAAUCCUCAUUGACGACAACCCACCUACUGGAAAAUCCAUGAAAGUAGACCAGUUAUAGUAACUCUCUCCAUGUCAGAAGCUCCUUGAAAUUGGAGUUGCAUGUCACCUGUUCGACGAAAUGUCAGUGUAAUAACAAUCGUCCUUUUGUCCAAGAAUUUCAAAAUUUCUUUUUCCUCGACUCUUUUCAUAUUUUUUUUUUGUGGGAUAUUUAUCUUGCUGAAGAAAACUAAAGUGGGUUAAUCUUAACCAGGCUUCAGCUUCUCUUUUUUACAA